rnacentral:rRNA from 1 species
AGUAAUGCUUGGGAAUCUAGCUUAUGGAGGGGGAUAACUAUGGGAAACUGUAGCUAAUACCGCGUAGAAUCGGGAGAUGAAAGUGUGGGACCUUCGGGCCACAUGCCAUAGGAUGAGCCCAAGUGGGAUUAGGUAGUUGGUGAGGUAAAGGCUCACCAAGCCGACGAUCUCUAGCUGGUCUGAGAGGAUGACCAGCCACACUGGGACUGAGACACGGCCCAG